ACAAAAGUCUUCAAUUCUUUCCCUUUCCUCCUCUUCCCCCACCCGACCUGAAGAAGAAAGGCAGCUUCCCCCGCCUGACCUGAAGAUGCGAGGUAGCUUCCCCCACCUCACCCUUAUCUUUGAAUAACAUUUCAAAGGAAGAUGCAAGCCUCAGUUGGGCGAUCCUAUUCCUGCUGCUCUCUAUUUCCUUAUAAAUCUGCUCCAUUUUUCUCACACCUCUUUUAAGAUCGCGUAUCAAAACCUCCUCUGCAAAAGAAUUCCAAUUACCAGAAUGAUGCAGGAACCCUCGCAUAUUUGACACCGUACCCGAGCGCCGACACGGCGCGUCGCUUCGGGACGACGACCUAGCCCACCCUCGCCCACUUUUCGCUACACCCGGGUGGUUCAACUGCAACGCGUCGUUCGUAGGGGACGCCCCAGUAAAUAUUCGCUUGGAUAUCACUUUUAUCACUUGGACUGCUGCUCCAUCUCAAAGUAAUCUUCACACAAAAUCAUCACCGAUGGCUGAAGCAAUUUUGUUCGGUUUGGCUGAGACCCUCCUUGAAAAGUUGGGCCUUCGGGCUUUUCAAGAGAUUGGAUUGGCAUGGGCUGUCAAAGACGAAGUUCAAAAACUUAAUCACAUCGUUUUCAUACUCAAGAACGUGCUUUUGGAUGCGGAGGAGCAAAGUAGCCAUAACCGUAUGAUCACAACUUGGCUUCGAGAGCUUCAAGAUGUAGUUUACGAUGCAGAAGAUUUGCUCGACGAUGUCUCUACCACAGCUUUGCAACAAAAGGUGAUAACCCAAAAGAAACUCGCGAGAAAGCUGCACCUUUUCUUUUCGAGCUACAAUCCGAUUGUGUUUGGUCUGAAGAUGGGUCAUAGGAUUAAGGCUAUUAGGGAGAGAUUGGAUGAACAUGCAAAGCUUAAGAACAAUUUCAACUUAACUGAUCAAUCCACGGAGUCCAGACUACUUAAAUAUAGGGAGAGGGAGCAAACUCAUUCCCUUUUUCCUCAAGAAAAAGUUAUUGGGAGGGAAGAUGACAAAAAUAAAAUAGUGGAUCGUUUACUGGACAGUAAUCCUGUUGCUGUUGAAGAUAAGUUUUCAGUCAUUCCAAUUGUUGGAAUGGGGGGCCUAGGAAAGACUACUCUUGCUCAAUAUGUGUACAAUGAUGAGAAAUUUGGAGAACAUUUUGCGCUAAAAAUGUGGGUUUGUGUGUCAACUGAUUUUAAUAUGAAGAGAAUUGUUGAAAAUAUUUUAGAAUCUGCAACUAAGAAGAAAACUGAGGGGGGCCUUCAGAUGGAUACACUGCAAGAUUGCCUUCGGAAAGAAGUUGGUGGUAAGAAAUACUUGCUUGUUUUAGACGAUGUUUGGAAUGAGGAUCAUACAUUGUGGGACAAACUAAAAGAUUUGUUAAAUGUAUGUGCAAGUGGAAGUAAGAUUAUAGUAACAACUCGGAGCCAUAGGGUUGCAGAAAUCACAAGCCCCGUUGAACCAUAUGUUUUAGAAGGUCUUGAUGAGCAGAGGUCAUGGGAAUUGUUUAAGAAAAAGGCAUUUAAACCAGGAGAGGAGCCACAAAACCAAGUGGAAAUUGGGAAGGAGAUUGUAAGAAAGUGUUCAGGCGUUCCUCUUGCCAUACGGACUUUGGCAAGCUUAUUGCCCAACAAAGAUACCAAAUACUGGGAAUCCAUUAAAAAUAAAGAAUUUUCAAAAAUAGCCCAAAAAGAAAAUGAUAUUAUACCUAUCCUGAGAUUUAGCUAUGAUGAGCUCCCAUCAUAUUUAAAGCACUGCUUUGCUUACUGCUCAGUAUAUCCCAAAGAUUUUGAAAUUGAGAAGCAAACCUUGAUCCAACUUUGGAUGGCAAACGGUUUUCUUCGUUCACAGGAUGGAAAACAAUGUGCAGAAGAAAUUGGGGAUCAAUAUUUUACGGAGCUAUUAAGGAGGUCCUUUUUUCAAGAUGUACAAAGAAAGAAAUGGGAUGAUGAUAUAGAGAGUUAUAAAAUGCAUGAUCUGAUGCACGACCUUGCAGAAUUGGUUGCUGGGGAAGGAAUUUGUCGUGGGAGCUCAGAGGCAGCAAAUAUUAUAGAAAAGACACGUCACCUGUCAUUCCCUUAUGAGUCGGAAAGUUAUUCGACGGAAAUUCCAUCUACACUGUUCAAUGCAGGUACAUGUCUCCGAACGUUACUUUUGCCAUCCUCCAUAAAAGUGAACGAAACAUGUCUCCGAAAGAUUAUUUCGAGAUUCAGGUGCCUACGCGUGUUGGAUUUGCAUGACCUGUGGAUCGAAAUGUUACCAGGUUCAAUUGGGAAGUUGAAGCAACUAAGGUAUCUUGACCUUUCUUGCUGCCGCAGUAUGAAACGACUCCCUGAAUCUAUUACCCGCCUGGUGAAUUUACAGACGCUGAAGCUCUCUUCGUGUGAGGAACUCGAAGAAUUGCCGAGGGAUAUUGAGAAUUUAGUCAACUUGGUGCAUCUUGAUUUGGAUGAGUGUUGUAGUUUGAGACGUAUGCCGCGCGGAGUGGGGCAGUUGGAGCAACUAAGGUAUCUUGACCUUUCUCGCUGCCGCAGUAUGAAACGACUCCCUGAAUCUAUUACCCGCCUGGUGAAUUUACAGACGCUGAAGCUCUCUUGGUGUGAGGAACUCGAAGAAUUGCCGAGGGAUAUUGAGAAUUUAGUCAACUUGGUGCAUCUUGAUUUGGAUGGGUGUUCUAGUUUGAGACGUAUGCCGCGCGGAGUGGGGCAGUUGAAGCAACUAAGGUAUCUUGACCUUUCUUGCUGCCGCAGUAUGAAACGACUCCCUGAAUCUAUUACCCGCCUGGUGAAUUUACAGACGCUGAAGCUCUCUUGGUGUGAGGAACUCGAAGAAUUGCCGAGGGAUAUUGAGAAUUUAGUCAACUUGGUGCAUCUUGAUUUGGCUGAGUGUUUUAGUUUGAGACGUAUGCCGCGCGGAGUGGGGCAGUUGGAGCAACUAAGGUAUCUUGACCUUUCUUGCUGCCGCAGUAUGAAACGACUCCCUGAAUCUAUUACCCGCCUGGUGAAUUUACAGACGCUGAAGCUCUCUUCGUGUGAGGAACUCGAAGAAUUGCCGAGGGAUAUUGAGAAUUUAGUCAACUUGGUGCAUCUUGAUUUGGAUGAGUGUUCUAGUUUGAGACGUAUGCCGCGCGGAGUGGGGCAUUUGAAGCAACUAAGGUAUCUUGACCUUUCUUGCUGCCGCAGUAUGAAACGACUCCCUGAAUCUAUUACCCGCCUGGUGAAUUUACAGACGCUGAAGCUCUCUUCGUGUGAGGAACUCGAAGAAUUGCCGAGGGAUAUUGAGAAUUUAGUCAACUUGGUGCAUCUUGAUUUGGGUGGGUGUUCUAGUUUGAGACGUUUGCCGCGCGGAGUGGGGCAGUUGAGGCAACUAAGGUAUCUUGACCUUUCUUGCAACCACAGUAUGAAACGACUCCCUGAAUCUAUUACCCGCCUGGUGAAUUUACAGACGCUGAAGCUCUCUUGGUGUGAGGAACUCGAAGAAUUGCCGAGGGAUAUUGAGAAUUUAGUCAACUUGGUGCAUCUUGAUUUGGAUAAGUGUUUUAGUUUGAGACGUAUGCCGCAAGGAGUGGGGCAGUUGUCUAACCUUCGAACGUUGAAUCGGUUUGUGGUGGGCGAGAAUGCAACCACAAGCGGUGUACUCAGCGAGUUGAAAGGGUUAAAUAAUCUGGAAGGGGAGUUGAAGAUUGUAAUCAGGAGAAGGAUAAAAAGUGCAGAAGCAUCGGAAGCGAAUUUGAAGGAGAAGCAACACCUUCGACGCCUGGAAUUGGAGUUGAGGCAACAAAGCAAUGAGGAUGGGGAGGAGGAUGAUUAUGAAUCAGUGUUGGAAGGCCUUCAGUCGCCCCCAAAUCUGAGAGAAUUGGAGAUAAGAGGGUACGGUGGGAGAAGGUGGCCAGAUGGGAUGCGUUGCCUCACCUCUCUUCAAAAAUUGUGGAUUGACCAGUGCCCUAGUCUAUUGAGCUGGGGAGACGAGGAAAGGUUCAGAGGCUUAACGUCUCUCGAGACGCUCUGUAUCGAGGGAUGUGAUGUUCUCAAGGCUUUGCCUGUUCGAGGUAUUCAACAUCUAAUUUCCCUGAAGAAGCUUCAUAUUUCAAAUUGCAUAGAGAUGGAAUUGUUAGAUGAUGAUGAUGAUGGCAAGCAAUGGGAGAACCUCAACAAAAGUCUCCGGGAAGUGAGAAUUGAAGGAAUUCCAAAGAUGGUGCGUCUGCCUAGGUGGCUUCAGCAUUGCACAUCUCUGCAGGCUUUAUGGAUUGAAAAAUGCAGGGGUUUGAGGAAUUUACCAGAGUGGAUGGGCAACCUCACUUCGCUUCAAAAGCUUCGCCUAUGGGAAUGCCCCCAACUAGAAUCACUGCCGGAUGGGAUGCGUUGCCUCACCUCUCUUCAACAAUUGUGGAUUUUCGGAUGCCCACUUUUAGAGAAAAGAUGCGAAAAAGAAACAGGGGAGGAUUGGCCCAAGAUCGCUCACGUCCCCACAAUUUGGAUUCAUUCCAAGUGCCAAUAGUUAUAUGGUGACGUGCACCCUCUUCCAAAUUUGGAUUGUUUCCUAACGGCCAAGCCAAUAGUCCACUAGCUUUCCCAGCGGAACACCCCGUACGAUCCCAUGCAUGUGCGUCCAUUGCAGCCGACGCCGGCCGUGUCGCCUACACCCUCGAAUGAAGCCAUUAACCCUCCAAGUGAUCGAUCCGACGGCUGAGAUUGCUGGUUUCAAACACGUGGUGGACGAUCGGCUUUAUUGGACCCAACCUGGGCUCCUUUGCUUUUUUCAAUCAAAGGACAGCAGACUUUAUUUUGUCGUGUCAAGUGUACCCGCCAUAGGAAAACAAAAACGGGUGCCCCGAGUGGCCGCGGGCCCCACACCCGAGACGCGGGCGCCCCAAGUGGUGAAUAUCCUAUGGUCAGGAGGCUAGUGGCGCUGACACGUUUCAAUAGUUAUUAUGUCUUAAAAUUCAAGGCUUUGUAUUGAGGGAUGUGAUGGUCUCAAGGCUUUGCCUGUUCGAGGUAUUCAACAUCUAAUUUACCUGAAGAAGCUUCAUAUUUCAAAUUGCAUAGAGAUGGAAUUGUUAGAUGAUGAUGAUGAUGGCAAGCAAUGGGAGAACCUCAACAAAAGUCUCCGGGAAGUGAGAAUUGAAGAAAUUCCAAAGAUGGUGCGUCUGCCUAGGUGGCUUCAGCAUUGCACAUCUCUGCAAGCUUUACGGAUUGAAAAAUGCAGGGGUUUGAGGAAUUUACCAGAGUGGAUGGGCAACCUCACUUCGCUUCAAGAGCUUCGUCUACAGGAAUGCCCCCAACUAGAAUCACUGCCGGAUGGGAUGCGUUGCCUCACCUCUCUUCAACAGUUGGAUAUUUAUGAAUGCCCACUUUUAAAGAAAAGAUGCGAAAAAGAAACAGGGGAGGACUGGCUCACGUCCCCAAAAUACAUAUAUGGUGACGUGCACCCUCUUCCAAAUUUGGAUUGUUUCCAAACGGCCAAGCCAAAAGGAUGCCACAAAGGCUAGUGACAUGACUAGUUAUGGAAGAUGGUGUUCGUUUCUUCAACCUGGGUUGUAUUAGUGUAAGGAUGGUGGUUUUUUAGAAGAUCUUGUUUGUGCACAUUACGAUCUUAGACAUUGUUGAUGUGGCGCUGGGGGCAACAUGCCAUGCCAUUGAGGAAUUUGGAUUUUUGGAAGGAGGUUUGAUCUAUGUGUAUCUCAACUUUCUGUUAUUCUGCAUUCUGCAGCUAAUGUUUUUGUAGCUUACAAGGAACAACAAAUAGAGUGAGACAAAUUCCUUUGUACCAAAUUGUAUGCCACUUUCAUUCUUACCUAUUAAGGUUAGGAAAGAGUUGAAUGCUCCUUUCUCCAUAAUGUACCUUGUCUCCCAUCUCUUGUCUUCACAAUGAAUAAUGCAUAACUCAAAUGGCAGCAUACAUGUCAACUAUUAAAUUUA